rnacentral:rRNA from 1 species
UACGGGGGGGGCAAGCGUUGUUCGGAAUUACUGGGCGUAAAGCGCACGUAGGCGGAUUGUUAAGUCGGGGGUGAAAUCCUGGAGCUCAACUCCAGAACUGCCUUCGAUACUGGCGAUCUCGAGUUCGGGAGAGGUGAGUGGAACUGCGAGUGUAGAGGUGAAAUUCGUAGAUAUCAAGCGGAACACCGGUGGCGAAGGCGGCCUUCUGGACGAUGACUGACGCUGAGACGCGAAAGCGUGGGGAGCAAACAGG